GUCGAACGCUGGCGGCGUGCCUAAUACAUGCAAGUAGAACGCACAGUUUAUACCGUAGCUUGCUACACCAUAGACUGUGAGUUGCGAACGGGUGAGUAACGCGUAGGUAACCUGCCUGGUAGCGGGGGAUAACUAUUGGAAACGAUAGCUAAUACCGCAUAAUAUUAAUUAUUGCAUGAUAAUUAAUUGAAAGGUGCAAUUGCACCACUACCAGAUGGACCUGCGUUGUAUUAGCUAGUAGGUGAGGUAACGGCUCACCUAGGCGACGAUACAUAGCCGACCUGAGAGGGUGAUCGGCCACACUGGGACUGAGACACGGCCCAGACUCCUACGGGAGGCAGCAGUAGGGAAUCUUCGGCAAUGGACGAAAGUCUGACCGAGCAACGCCGCGUGAGUGAAGAAGGUUUUCGGAUCGUAAAGCUCUGUUGUAAGAGAAGAACGGGUGUGAGAGUGGAAAGUUCACACUGUGACGGUAUCUUACCAGAAAGAGACGGCUAACUACGUG
rnacentral:rRNA from 1 species